rnacentral:rRNA from 1 species
AACGAACGCUGGCGGCAUGCCUAACACAUGCAAGUCGAACGAGACCUUCGGGUCUAGUGGCGCACGGGUGCGUAACGCGUGGGAACCUGCCCUUAGGUUCGGAAUAACUCCCCGAAAGGGGUGCUAAUACCGGAUAAUGUCUUCGGACCAAAGAUUUAUCGCCUUUGGUUGGGCCCGCGUUGGAUUAGCUAGUUGGUAGGGUAAAAGCCUACCAAGGCGACGAUCCAUAGCUGGUCUGAGAGGAUGAUCAGCCACACUGGGACUGAGACACGGCCCAGACUCCUACGGGAGGCAGGAGUGGGGAAUAUUGGACAAUGGGAGAAAGCCUGAGCCAGCAAUGCCGCGUGAGUGAUGAAGGCCUGAGGGUUGUAAAGCUCUUUUACCCGGGAUGAUAAUGACAGUACCGGGAGAAUAAGCUCCGGCUAACUCCGUG